rnacentral:rRNA from 1 species
UACGUAGGGGGCUAGCGUUGUCCGGAAUCAUUGGGCGUAAAGAGCGUGUAGGCGGCUCGGUAAGUCCGCUGUAAAAGUCAAAGGCUCAACCUUUGAAUGUCAGUGGAUACUGCCGGGCUAGAGUCCGGAAGAGGCGAGUGGAACUCCUGGUGUAGCGGUGGAAUGCGCAGAUAUCAGGAAGAACACCGGUGGCGAAGGCGCUCUGCUAGGCCGCAACUGACACUGAGGGACGAAAGCUAGGGGAGCGAAUGGG